UUCGCCACCUCAUGCAAAUCUACAGUGAUCUUGUUCCCAAGGUAUAAUAACAUGACUUGGUCCGAUCCUCUUCUAACGAGUAUGAUUGCUUGAGAGGCUAGACCCAAUCAACUCCUUUAGUUACACAAAUAAAAGAUUGCAAAAAAAGAGAAAAUGUUUAGUGGAAAAGAGAGGGGGAAUCUCUAUCUUAGAGUGGAAGAACUUUCUAUCUCGGAUUUCAAAUUUAGCUGACAGGAAGAGCUUUCUCUAUCUCUAAAUUAGAAG
rnacentral:lncRNA from 1 species